CAGUCGCCACGGUAACACAGAGGGUGCAAGCGUUAAUCGGAAUUACUGGGCGUAAAGCGCGCGUAGGUGGUUUGUUAAGUUGGAUGUGAAAGCCCCGGGCUCAACCUGGGAACUGCAUCCAAAACUGGCAAGCUAGAGUACGGUAGAGGGUGGUGGAAUUUCCUGUGUAGCGGUGAAAUGCGUAGAUAUAGGAAGGAACACCAGUGGCGAAGGCGACCACCUGGACUGAUACUGACACUGAGGUGCGAAAGCGUGGGGAGCAAACAGGAUUAGAUACCCCGGUAGUCCCUGUCUCUUAUAU
rnacentral:rRNA from 1 species